AACGGAGACCUGCGCCUCGGGGUCUCCCGGUGCCCCGGCUGGGUCCCGGCCCCCGACGGAGGGGCGCGUCCUCACUCACCGGUUCCGGUGGCGCCGCUCUCCCGGGGGGCCCAGCACAGCGCGAGCAGCAGCCAGAGCGCCCAGCGCGCGGACGUGCCCAUGGUGCCCGCCUGGAUGGUGCCGCCGCCGCCGCCGCCGUUCGCUCCGCACAACAAGUUACCAGCCCUUCCGAAAGGAGGAAGAAGGCUCCAAGCUUGAUAUAGAAGACUAUCAUACCCAGAGAGGGUAACUGAAACGAAAGAAAUUACUCCAGCAUCAAGCUAAAGACACGCCUUAAAGGAUGAGGAGGAGCAGAAAUCUUACCAGCAAGGCCAGAAAGAAGCUGUGCAUGAACAGAAAUGAAAGAAUCAGUGCAUUGCAACAGAAUGAAUCCUGGAAUGGGAAUGGAAUGCCUGGAUUUGUGGCACAGUUGGGAAGUAUCCUGGCCAUGCCAUGUUAAAGUUGCCUCCAAAGCAGUGAUUCUUACCCUUGGCUGCACAUUGGAAUUAUUUGGGAAGCUGAAAAUUAAAAAAACAAAAAAAACAAAAAACAAUGCCCAGGACCUGGGCAAGAUGGCUGAAUAAG